UACGAAGGGGGCUAGCGUUGUUCGGAAUUACUGGGCGUAAAGCGCACGUAGGCGGAUCGAUCAGUCAGGGGUGAAAUCCCGCAGCUCAACUGCGGAACUGCCUUUGAUACUGUCGGUCUAGGGUAUGGAAGAGGUGAGUGGAAUUCCGAGUGUAGAGGUGAAAUUCGUAGAUAUUCGGAGGAACACCAGUGGCGAAGGCGGCUCACUGGUCCAUUACUGACGCUGAGGUGCGAAAGCGUGGGGAGCAAACAGG
rnacentral:rRNA from 1 species